UACGAAGGGGGCUAGCGUUGCUCGGAAUCACUGGGCGUAAAGGGUGCGUAGGCGGGUCUUUAAGUCAGGGGUGAAAUCCUGGAGCUCAACUCCAGAACUGCCUUUGAUACUGAGUCUUGAGUUCGGGAGAGGUGAGUGGAAUGCCGAGUGUAGAGGUGAAAUUCGUAGAUAUUCGGCGGAACACCAGUGGCGAAGGCGACUCACUGGCCCGAUACUGACGCUGAGGCGCGAAAAGCGUGGGGGAGCAAACAGGG
rnacentral:rRNA from 1 species